UACGUAGGCAGCAAGCGUUGUUCGGAGUUACUGGGCGUAAAGGGUGUGUAGGCGGUUGUUUAAGUUUGGUGUGAAAUCUCCCGGCUCAACUGGGAGGGUGCGCCGAAUACUGAAUGACUAGAGUGCGGGAGAGGAAAGUGGAAUUCCUGGUGUAGCGGUGAAAUGCGUAGAUAUCAGGAGGAACACCGGUGGUGUAGACGGCUCUCUGGACCGUAACUGACGCUGAGGCACGAAAGCGUGGGUAGCAAACAGG
rnacentral:rRNA from 1 species